UGUACUGCUGUGCUCUUUAUUUCGGGUGUGGGUUGUAAGGUCUUGCGGACCAUCCGAGCUUUAAUGAGUUCGCUAAAGAAGAUGCAGACGGGCAAGUAGAGCCAGCAUGCCGGUGGCCCGGAGCUGGGUUUGUCGCAAAACCUAUGUGACCCCGCGGAGACCCUUCGAGAAGUCCCGCCUCGACCAAGAGCUGAAGCUGAUCGGCGAGUAUGGGCUCCGGAACAAACGUGAGGUCUGGAGGGUCAAAUUUACCCUGGCCAAGAUCCGCAAGGCUGCCCGCGAGCUGCUGACGCUGGAUGAGAAAGACCCGCGGCGUCUGUUUGAAGGCAAUGCCCUGCUGCGGCGACUCGUCCGUAUCGGGGUGCUGGACGAGGGCAAGAUGAAGCUGGAUUACAUCUUGGGCCUGAAGAUUGAGGAUUUCUUGGAGAGACGCCUGCAGACCCAGGUCUUCAAGCUGGGCCUGGCCAAGUCCAUCCACCACGCCCGUGUGCUGAUCCGCCAGCGCCAUAUCAGCCCUCGGAGGUGAGGAAGGUGUGAGCUCCCCUUGAGGGUACAGAUUGACCCCUACAAACAGCUCAUGGGGGAGCUGGGGGCAGCCUCAUCCCCCCGUAGCCCAGCGCAAGGGUCACUGCGGCUGGAGCCGUACACCUUGCGAAGGCUUCUCCGAGGCGUGCAGGUAGCUGGACAGGGUCCGCAAGCAGGUGGUGAACAUCCCGUCCUUCAUUGUCCGCCUGGACUCCCAGAAGCACAUCGACUUCUCCCUCCGCUCUCCGUACGG